CUGGUCACAGUCAUCAAGAAAGCAUCAGCAUGGUCAGAAUAGCUUUUAUAGUUUUAGCAUUGGCGGUUUUCUCCUUUGCUGCACCAGGAGAAAGAAUAAGAAGAUUCGAACACGAUCCAAGUUUAGGUGGCUAUGGGAAUUACGGUGGCUACGGACACGUUCCGGGCCACGGAUACGGACCGGUGUUGCCGCUGAACUCACAUUCAUACUCAAAAUCCUCAGCAAGCGCGAGCUCCGUAUCUAGCGGAGGAAAUAUCGCUGGAUGAGAGGAAAUGGAAUAAAAAUCAACAAAGAUGACAACGGAUAAUGACCACAAGUUAAUCACGAAGAUAUUGUAUAUUAUUUAAUCUACUACUUAAAUCUACAAAUGGUAAUGACACUGUAAUUUUAAUGUUUCAAUUAAUAAUUUCAUAUAUAAAGCAAUUAACAUUAGAUGAUUAUGAGGGAAAUUGUAAUGAUUAUUUCAUAAUAAAAUGAUUGUAAUUUUUCAAA